rnacentral:tRNA from 1 species
AGGAUUUUAAGUUAUAUAAACUAUUAACCUUCAAAGUUAAAAAUACACUUGAUAGGUAAAUUCUA